GACGGGUGAGUAACACGUGGGCAACCUGCCUGUAAGACUGGGAUAACGCCGGGAAACCGGGGCUAAUACCAGAUAGUUUUUUCCUCCGCAUGGAGGAAAAAGGAAAGGCGGCUUCGGCUGCCACUUACAGAUGGGCCCGCGGCGCAUUAGCUAGUUGGCGGGGUAACGGCCCACCAAGGCAACGAUGCGUAGCCGACCUGAGAGGGUGAUCGGCCACAUUGGGACUGAGACACGGCCCAAACUCCUACGGGAGGCAGCAGUAGGGAAUCUUCCGCAAUGGACGAAAGUCUGACGGAGCAACGCCGCGUGAGUGAAGAAGGCCUUCGGGUCGUAAAACUCUGUUGCCGGGGAAGAACAAGUGCCGUUCGAACAGGGCGGCGCCUUGACGGUACCCGGCCAGAAAGCCACGGCUAACUACGUGCCAGCAGCCGCGGUAAUACGUAGGUGGCAAGCGUUGUCCGGAAUUAUUGGGCGUAAAGCGCGCGCAGGCGGCUUCUUAAGUCUGAUGUGAAAUCUUGCGGCUCAACCGCAAGCGGUCAUUGGAAACUGGGAGGCUUGAGUGCAGAAGAGGAGAGUGGAAUUCCACGUGUAGCGGUGAAAUGCGUAGAGAUGUGGAGGAACACCAGUGGCGAAGGCGGCUCUCUGGUCUGUAACUGACGCUGAGGCGCGAAAGCGUGGGGAGCAAACAGGAUUAGAUACCCUGGUAGUCCACGCCGUAAACGAUGAGUGCUAAGUGUUAGAGGGUUUCCGCCCUUUAGUGCUGCAGCUAACGCAUUAAGCACUCCGCCUGGGGGAGUACGGCCGCAAGGCUGAAACUCAAAGGAAUUGACGGGGGCCCGCACAAGCGGUGGAACCAUGUGGUUUAAUUCGAAGCAACGCGAAGAACCUUACCAGGUCUUGACAUCCUCUGACCUCCCUGGAGACAGGGCCUUCCCCUUCGGGGGACAGAGUGACAGGUGGUGCAUGGUUGUCGUCAGCUCGUGUCGUGAGAUGUUGGGUUAAGUCCCGCAACGAGCGCAACCCUUGACCUUAGUUGCCAGCAUUGAGUUGGGCACUCUAAGGUGACUGCCGGUGACAAACCGGAGGAAGGUGGGGAUGACGUCAAAUCAUCAUGCCCCUUAUGACCUGGGCUACACACGUGCUACAAUGGAUGGUACAAAGGGCUGCGAGACCGCGAGGUUAAGCCAAUCCCAGAAAACCAUUCCCAGUUCGGAUUGCAGGCUGCAACCCGCCUGCAUGAAGCCGGAAUCGCUAGUAAUCGCGGAUCAGCAUGCCGCGGUGAAUACGUUCCCGGGCCUUGUACACACCGCCCGUCACACCA
rnacentral:rRNA from 2 species